UUAUAUCAAGUUGUAGAGGGAAAUUUUUCUCCACCCAAAGGCCUAGUAGAAAAUAAAAAUGAAAAAUAUCCAAACCUAUCAAUAUAUAAUUUCUGAAAGUGAAAUUUAGAAGCUAAAAUACCAGAGUGAUGAGACGAAAAAUCAAAUUACAAAUGUAUUUAAAAACAUGAGAAAAUUCACAAGGAAGGGACCUUGAGGGAAAAUUACUUCAAAGGGGAAGGAAUUAACUCCUCUAUCAUGAGACCAGCCCUUUCUUGUGGCUGUGAAAAUUGAUGCAGUGUCACAUAUACAUUUCAAAUGUAAAAGGAAGAAAGAAAAUAAAUAACUGGGGCCACAAUUUCCAAACCAAAAGAAAGAGAAAAUGGAACAUCAUAAAACUAUACAAGCAAAGAAGAAAAUCAAUAAAAUUCAAUGCAGCACAUCUUCCUGCUUACUUCUGAGCACACAAAGUUCACUCAUCUGGAAUGCACCAGGUGUACCGUAUGUGUAAUAAAUCUUUCAAGUCUUCAGAAAUAUGAUCUAUCAUUAGAAGUGCUGAAAAAUACCAGUUGGCUUUACUAAUUGUGGAUUUUGCUUUCCUCUAAGCUUUCCUUUUGACCAGAACCGCUGGUGUUUUGUUUCUAUCUGAGAGCAGGGAGACUGAUAUCAAGGUGAAACAACCCUGUUUCUCCACAAGGACAUCGAGAUACCAUGACUUCACUCUAUUCCCACUUUCAUAAUGGCAAAAUUACCAAGCAGAGGAAUUUGAAGCAGCACACUGCCCAAAUGGCUGAAAUGAAAUGGUGUUAUUCCACUGGAAAAAUAUUGACUAUAAAAUCCUGACCUUGGAAAGUGGACCUGAAGAGAGACUCACAUUUAUUUCCAGUGUGUUGGAUGACUGUGACUCUAACUAAAUGGAACAAUGUCUUCAUCCAUUUUUGGUACUCAGGUUCUCUUCCUGCUUCUCUGUUAUGUUUUGAAGCAACUGAGAGACCCUCAACAGAGGCCAAACAGAUGUAGCCACUCAUCUUAGAAUUUUGGCCUCCAAAACUGUAAGUUAAAUAAUGCUCUUUGCUUUAUAAGUACCUGGCUUUAGGCAUUUUGUUAUAGCAGCAGAAAAUGAACUAAUACAUUUAUCUACAAGCCUGUACCACAUUAUUUUGAUUAAUUAUGCACUAAAUUGUAUGGGAAUUCUUAGUAUUCCCACUUUGUUAUUUUUUCAAGAUCAUUUUACUUGUCCUGGG
rnacentral:lncRNA from 1 species